rfam:Oryza glumipatula chromosome 8, whole genome shotgun sequence.
GAUAUCAACUGAAAAAGUCAUCAACAACAAAGUUGAAUAACUCAUCAACAUCUAAAACUUUUAUUUUGAUUAUUUCUUCAUACGACAAAGUGAUAGUAACAUUAUUCACAAAAUUGACAUAUCUCUUAUCUGGUUUUAUAAACUAUAACACAUAUAUGUAAAAUUUGUGAAUAAUAUUACUAACAUUUCGUCAGAUGAAGAAAUAAAAAAAAUAAAAGUUUUAGAUCUUGAUGAGUUAUUCAACUUUGUUGUUGAUGACUUUUUCAAUUGAAAUC